AUGGUCUCCACACCUGCUCCAAAUCUUCAGCCACAUUACUGCUCAAAGGAGCAGACAGAACAGCCCCUCCAGGAGGAUGUGGAAAUAAAUAGCUGUGAGGGACACAAACUCAAAAGCUUCAGUCAUCAGAGGAAAUCCGUGUGGGCCAGCAGUAAGGGCAACAAAACCCACAGCCAUGCCAAUUCCCAGUCAUCCUCAGGAUUUCAUGAACUUCAGCCAGAACAACGCAGGAGAGUCCCCCGGGUAGUGCAAACAGUGCUCUCGUUGGCUGUUCGUACAGAGGCAAUUUCAGUCCCAUCAUCUCUGAAAGACAGGGCUUCUCUGGUGUCCGUGGGAGCAGAGGUCCCACUCCAGAGGAAGAAGAAGUACUUGGACUGUGUGGGGAUGAGAAUACAUCUGACAAGCAGGCUCUGGGCCAUGUAG
rnacentral:lncRNA from 1 species